rnacentral:rRNA from 1 species
UACGGAGGGUGCAAGCGUUGUCCGGAAUCAUUGGGCGUAAAGCGCACGUAGGCGGUUCUUUUAAGUCUCAUGGUGAAAGGCUGGGGCUCAACCCCAAGCAUGCCGGGGAUACUGGAGGACUGGAGACAGGUAGAGGCCAGCGGAAUUCCGGGUGUAGCGGUGGAAUGCGUAGAGAUCCGGAAGAACACCGGAGGCGAAGGCGGCUGGCUGGACCUGAUCUGACGCUGAGGCGCGAAAGCCAGGGGAGCAAGCGGG